AUUGAACGCUGGCGGCAUGCCUUACACAUGCAAGUCGAACGGCAGCACGGGAGCUUGCUCCUGGUGGCGAGUGGCGAACGGGUGAGUAAUACAUCGGAACGUACCCAGGAGUGGGGGAUAACGUAGCGAAAGUUACGCUAAUACCGCAUAUUCUGUGAGCAGGAAAGCGGGGGAUCGCAAGACCUCGCGCUCUUGGAGCGGCCGCUGUCGGAUUAGCUAGUUGGUGGGGUAAAGGCUCACCAAGGCGACGAUCCGUAGCAGGUCUGAGAGGAUGAUCUGCCACACUGGGACUGAGACACGGCCCAGACUCCUACGGGAGGCAGCAGUGGGGAAUUUUGGACAAUGGGGGCAACCCUGAUCCAGCCAUGCCGCGUGAGUGAAGAAGGCCUUCGGGUUGUAAAGCUCUUUCGGCGGGGAAGAAAUGGCAACGGCUAAUAUCCGUUGUUGAUGACGGUACCCGCAUAAGAAGCACCGGCUAACUACGUGCCAGCCGCCGCAGUAA
rnacentral:rRNA from 1 species